GCUAACAUCCGCCAAGUGGCUAGGAUUUGCCGCUCUCAUCAAAGAGCAGUUCGCUCCUGUAGCGCCGGCAAGGCCCGGGUUCGAUUCCCGGUGUCGGAA